UAGUCCACGCCGUAAACGAUGAUAACUGGUUGUCGGCGAUACACAGUCGGUGGCUGAGCGAAAGUAUUAAGUUAUCCACCUGGGGAGUACGAUCGCAAGGUUGAAACUCAAAGGAAUUGACGGGGGCCCGCACAAGCGGUGGAGCAUGUGGUUUAAUUCGAUGAUACGCGAGGAACCUUACCUGGGCUCAAACGCAUAACGACGUAUAUGGAAACAUAUAUUUCUUCGGACGUUAUGCGAGGUGCUGCAUGGUUGUCGUCAGCUCGUGCCGUGAGGUGUCGGGUUAAGUCCCAUAACGAGCGCAACCCCUACCUUUAGUUGCCAGCACGUAAUGGUGGGGACUCUAAAGAAACUGCCGGCGCAAGCCGCGAGGAAGGUGGGGAUGACGUCAAAUCAGCACGGCCCUUAUGUCCAGGGCUACACACGUGCUACAAUGGUAGAUACAGAGGGCAGCUACCGGGUGACCGGAUGCGAAUCUCGAAAGUCUAUCUCAGUUCGGAUCGAAGU
rnacentral:rRNA from 1 species